rnacentral:tRNA from 1 species
GGGCGGUUGCUGAAAUUGGUAGACAGGACGGACUUAGGAUCCGUUGGUUGUAAAACCGUGAGAGUUCGAGUCUCUCACCGCCCACCA